GAUGGAGAACGUAGCGAAAUGCGAUAAGUAAUGUGAAUUGCAGAAUUCAGUGAAUCAUCGAAUCUUUGAACGCACCUUGCGCUCCUUGGUAUUCCGAGGAGCAUGCCUGUUUGAGUGUCAUGAAAUUCUCAAACCCAUAAGUCUUUGCGGGCUUACGGGCUUUGGACUUGGAGGCUUGUCGGCGACCGUAAAGUCACAUCGACUCCUCUCAAAUGCAUUAGCUUGAUUCCUUGCGGAUCGGCUCUCGGUGUGAUAAUUGUCUACGCCGUGACCGUGAAGCGUUUUGGCAAGCUUCUAACCGUCUCUAACGAGACAGCUUACUUUGACCUCUGACCUCAAAUCAGGUAGGACUACCCGCUGAACUUAAGCAUAUCAAUAAGCGGAGGA
rnacentral:misc_RNA from 1 species